GACGAACGCUGGCGGCGUGCCUAAUACACGCAAGUUGAGCGCUGAAGGUUGGUACUUGUACCAACUGGAUGAGCAGCGAACGGGUGAGUAACGCGUGGGGAAUCUGCCUUUGAGCGGGGGACAACAUUUGGAAACGAAUGCUAAUACCGCAUAAAAACUUUAAACACAAGUUUUAAGUUUGAAAGAUGCAAUUGCAUCACUCAAAGAUGAUCCCGCGUUGUAUUAGCUAGUUGGUGAGGUAAAGGCUCACCAAGGCGAUGAUACAUAGCCGACCUGAGAGGGUGAUCGGCCACAUUGGGACUGAGACACGGCCCAAACUCCUACGGGAGGCAGCAGUAGGGAAUCUUCGGCAAUGGACGAAAGUCUGACCGAGCAACGCCGCGUGAGUGAAGAAGGUUUUCGGAUCGUAAAACUCUGUUGGUAGAGAAGAACGUUGGUGAGAGUGGAAAGCUCAUCAAGUGACGGUAACUACCCAGAAAGGGACGGCUAACUACGUG
rnacentral:rRNA from 1 species